rnacentral:lncRNA from 1 species
GCUCCGGCGCUGGCGGGCGACGGGAAGGGCUUAGGCGCUCUGGCUGGGCGGGGCGCGGGCGCCUUGGUUUCGUCCCGUGGCUUGGCAGUUGGCAGCGGCUCGGCGCGCACCCAACGGCCCACCGCGGGUUUCCGGGACGGCUAGCAGCGCGGUUCCCGGUCCCGCCCCGAACCCCCUUACCUGGCGCAGAGGCCGCUCAGUGCGGUGCGGUCAGGCCUCGUGGGCUGGGACCUAAGCCGUUGACCCUAAGGCGAUCGGGGCUCCCCGCGCGGCCCCCCCGGGGGACGGGAUUAACGCCUAAGCCCCAAGCCGGGUCGGCGGGAGGAGGGCGGCCCUCUGGGCGAGCGCGGGGCCGGGGCUGGCGGUGCGGAGCGCACGGGACUCGCCCGCUUCUCAGGGUCUGAAGGAAAUGUGCACUUUUAAUGUGUUAUUUCCUAACACAAAUGUUUGAGCAGACCAAAUAAACUCUGCAUGCUGAAUGUGGCCCCGAGGUCCCCCGUUGGUGACACGGCUUUCGGCAUUUUCUCGGCCUGAGUGUGAGAGUGAGAGGAGCCCGCGUGGCGGUCACCGGCUGGAGCGGGAGCGUGGAGUUAUCACGGCCGCCUCUGCCCGGAGCCCGCCCCUGCCCCGCGGCUGUGCCCCUUCACCCGCACGCCGACUGUUCCAAAGUCCACGUCCAGCCUGCAGCCGGGUUUUCUAUGGUGCCUGAGCUAAGAAUGCUUUUCUCGUUUUUAAGAGGUUGGGGGAGAAUUAAAACAGUAUUUUAGCAUAUAUGAAAAGUAUAUGACAUUCAAAUAUCGGCCGGGCACGGUGGCUCACGCCUGUAAUCCCUGCACUUUGGGAGGCCGAGGCGGGUGGAUCACCUGAGAUCAGGAGUUCGAGACCAGCCUGGCCAACAUGGAGAAACCCCGUCUCUACUGAAAAAAAAUAAAAAAUUAGCCAGACGUGGUGGUGGGCUCCUGUAAUCCCAGAUACUCGGGAGACUGAGGCAGAAGAAUCGCUUGAACCCGGGAGGCAGAGGUUGCAGUGAGCCGAGAUCGCGCCACUGCACUCCAGUCUGGGUGACAGAGCAAGACUCCGUCUCCAAAAAAAAAUUAAAUUAAAAUGUCGGUUUCCUAAGGAGUUCAACUGGAACACCACCAUGCUUGUUCAUGUAGUUAAAAGUCUGCAAGUGCUUGGUACAUACACAGAUGGUAUUUAUUUGCUGUUUGUCUUAAAUUGCAUUCUUAUGCAUCAUAGAGACUGCGAUAAGGAGAAGAAAAAAUAUUUUCUACAGGACCAUCCAAACAUGACAAGAGCAAAAAUCACCCCCUGCAGAACCUAGGAGCUACGUGCAGAACUUUACAGAGUUGAGGCAGCGCCGUAGCUGAGGCCUGACUGCUAACCAGGGAGUGGAGCUCUGAGUGCACUCAAGGAACGCAAGGAAGCCAGGCAGGGAGGAAGGGGCCGGCGGAGUCUAACUUCAGCUGCCAUCUUUUUUGGUGGCACAUCUCGUGGUCACAGGUUGUAGGCUGUGUUUCUGGAAGGUUCAGGUACAGCGCAAGAUUCCACUUGUCUACUUGGCUAUCUCUGUGCCUGAGGUGCCAUGAGGCCAACGGACGUCACUCAAAUUCAUGUCCAGCCAAACUCCCACAGCAAAGAAUCCCGAACCGAGGAUGAAGUUCCUCUAGAAAGCAUUCCUAUCUGUGGCAAAGCUGCAGACACCCCGAAACCCAUCUCCCACCUCGUCUGGAAUUUCAGGAGCUUCGUUUGCUGAGCCAGUGCACUCAUGGCAACCCUGCAGGAAGCCAUGUGGCACCUCUGGGCUUUGCACCGUGUGUGUUCUCUUCUCUAAACUGCUGUUUUUGCUUAGCAAAGAGCCUCGCCUGCCACUGAUGAUGGCAGUGUGGGGUCAUUUUGAAUGGCUGCCUGACACUGCAUGGCACAUUCACGUACACAGUCCUGUGGGAUCGUGACAUAAUAAGAAAUAGAUAUUUCAUCUCUGCCCCUGGUUCCUGACACAGAGCUCCUAAAACCAUUGAAAUUUCCUGGAUAAUAGGAGCUUCUUCUGUUCCAAUGGGGUGACUCUUGGUGGGCUCCUGGAUGGGGGCUGGUCACUAGCGAGACCACACCAUGAUGAGAAACCUGGAGCUUCAGCCCUACCCCCACCUCUGAGCAGGGGAGACGGGCUAGCUAGAGGCGCGGUUCCUAAUGCGCCAUAUGCCUACAUGAAGACGUCUCCGUAAAAGUCCCUCAGCAGUGGGGGUUUGGAGAGCUCCCAGGUUGGUGAACACAUCUCUUUGUGGGGGGCGUGGAGCACCCCAGCUCCCCAGGGCUGGCAGCUCCUGUGCUGAGAACGCUUCUGGACUUCGCCUUACGCACCCUUCAUCUGACUCCUCAUCCCUAUCCUUUAUCGUAUCUUUUAUAAUAAACAUGUUUCUCGCCAGGCGCGGUGGCUCACGCCUGUAAUCCCAGCACUUCGGGAGGCUGAGGUGGGCAGAUCACCUGAGGUUGGGAGUUUGAGACCAGCCUGACCAGCAUGGAGAAACGCUGUCUCUACUAAAAAUAAAAAAUUAGCCAGGUGUGGUGGUGCAUGCCUGCAAUCCCAGCUACUAGCAAGGCUGAGGCAGGAGAAUCGCUCGAACCCAGGAGGCAGAGGUUGUGGUAAGCUGAGAUCGUGCCAUUG